GACGAACGCUGGCGGCGUGCUUAACACAUGCAAGUCGAACGGAAAGGCCCAGCUGUUGUUGGGUGCUGGAGUGGCGAACGGGUGAGUAGCACGAGAGUAACACGCCCUUGACUUUGGUAUAAAUCCAGGAAACUGGAGCGAAUUCCGGACAGGAGACCCUUCUGCAUGCUGGGGGUUGACAAUUUUCGGCGGUUGGGGAUGGACUCGAGGCUUAUCAGCUUGUUGGUGGGGGAGGGACUUACGAAGGCUUUGACGGGUAGCCGGCAUGAGGGGGUAACCGGCGACAUAGCGACUGAGAGAUGGCCCAGAAUCCUACGGGAGGCAGCGGUGGGGAAUAUUGCACAAUGGGCGGAAGCCUGAUGCAGAAACGCCGCGUGCGGGAUGACGGCCUUCUGGUGGUGAACCGCUUUCGCCUGUGACGAAGCGUGAGUGACGGUAAUGGGUAAAGAAGCACCGGCUAACUACGUG
rnacentral:rRNA from 1 species